UACGUUUUAGUAUAUAUUGUACGGGGGUUUUUGAUGCUCCAGGGGAUAGUUAGAGGCUAUUAAACGUAA
rnacentral:tRNA from 1 species